rnacentral:rRNA from 1 species
UACGUAGGGGGCAAGCGUUGUCCGGAUUUAUUGGGCGUAAAGAGCGUGUAGGCGGUUCGGUAGGUCCGUUGUGAAAACUCGAGGCUCAACCUCGAGACGCCGAUGGAAACCCUCGAACUAGAGUCCGGAAGAGGAGAGUGGAAUUCCUGGUGUAGCGGUGAAAUUCGUAGAUAUCGGGAGGAACACCGGUGGCGAAGGCGGCGAUCUGGGUCGAUACUGACGCUGAGGUGCGAAAGCGUGGGGAGCAAACAGG